rnacentral:rRNA from 1 species
AACGCCAAGAACCUUACCAGCACUUGACAUCCAACUAACGAAAUAGAGAUAUAUUAGGUGCCCUUCGGGGAAAGUUGAGACAGGUGGUGCAUGGUUGUCGUCAGCUCGUGUCGUGAGAUGUUGGUUAAGUCCCGCAACGAGCGCAACCCUCGCCAUUAGUUGCUACGCAAGAGCACUCUAAUGGGACCGCUACCGACAAGGUGGAGGAAGGUGGGGACGACGUCAAAUCAUCAUGCCCCUUAUGUGCUGGGCUACACACGUAAUACAAUGGCCAUCAACAGAGAGAAGCAAUACCGCGAGGUGGAGCAAAACUUCAAAAAUGGUCUCAGUUCGGACUGCAGGCUGCAACCCGCCUGCACGAAGUUGGAAUUGCUAGUAAUCGUGGAUCAGCAUGCCACGGUGAAUACGUUCCCGGGCCUUGUACACACCG